CCUACGGGAGGCAGCAGUGAGGAAUAUUGGUCAAUGGACGAAAGCCUGAACCAGCCAAGCCGCGUGAGGGAAGAAGGUCCUGCGAAUCGUAAACCUCUUUUGUAAGGGAACAAAGGCAGGUACUCGUCCCCGUCUGAAUGUACCUUACGAACAAGCAUCGGCUAACUCCGUGCCAGCCGCCGCGGUAAUCCGGAGGGUGCGAGCGUUAUCCGGAUUGAUUGGGUUUAAAGGGUGCGCAGGCGGUCUGGUAAGUCAGCGGUGAAAUCCCGGGGCUCAACCCCGGCAGGGCCGUUGAUACUGGCGGGCUGGAGGGGGGGUGAAGUAGGCGGAAUGUGUGGUGUAGCGGUGAAAUGCGUAGAGAUCGUGCAGAACACCGAUUGCGAAGGCAGCUUACCGG
rnacentral:rRNA from 1 species